GAACCCUGUUUUGAAAAGAAGAAGAAGAAGAAGUAGAGUCUUGAUCCUUGUAUUGUUCUGUUGAGUCGAGUCGAGAGGCGGGUGCUGGGGUGUUGGCUGUGUGUCGGCAACGGCGGCGGCUCUCAUUGCCUCUCGCCGGACUGAUUCUGGGAGGGAGAUGAGAGAGAGACUUGAGAAGAGAGAGUGGUGUGCAUCAGGGGCGGCGGCGGGCUUUCUGCUGCUACGCCGCCUGGUUCUGUGAACGGAGAGGGGUCGUCGGCUGGUCACGGCAGCCGGAGCUCGAGAGGGAGAUGGUGAAGGGAGAUUCUGGUGAAGAACGAGAGAGAGAGAGAGAGAGAGCCGAGGGUGGCGCGCUUAUCGCCGCUGUUCCUCCGGUGAGCUUCCGCGGCGGCGGAACUUCGUGGGAGAGGGAGAGGGACUGAGUUCUUGGUGUGUGUGUGUCUUGACCUUUGUUGCGACUCGGAGAGGGAGAAAUGAGGGAGCCGAGCACGCGGCGGCGGCCAUAGUGGAUGUGGCUGUCGCCGGAAAACUUGAAGGAGGCUGCGGCACUUUCAGUGUGAGUAUGUGCGCGUCGGGAGGAGAGGAAGCAAGGGCGAGGGAGAGGGAAGUCAGAGGUGGCGGCGACGGCGGCGGCCGGAGGACGGCGCUGCUGACGACCGCCGGAAGAGAAAAGAGGGAGAGAGGGCUAAGCGGCGCAGCCGCUGGGUGCGUGCGUCUGUGUGUGAGAGGCGAGAGACAGGGGAGAGGGGAGUCAGGGGACGGCGGCGUGGUCGGCGGCGGCCACCGCUGCCGGAGACGAAGGAGGGGGAGGGGGUGCGGCGCUGAGUGUGUGAGUGUGUGCGUGUGUUUGUGUGUGUU
rnacentral:lncRNA from 1 species